rnacentral:lncRNA from 1 species
AAAAAUUAUAAAAACUCAAUAAUAAAAACAGUCUUCCCUUUCCCAAAAAUUUCAUAUCCUCUUCUAAAUACUUAACACUUUUUCCCCUUACAAAAAAAUCUUUCUUCCAAUAUCUUGUAUUUUUAUUAUAAAAUUAUUUUUAUAUAUUCAAAUGCAUUAAAUUUUUAUUAUUUGGCAAAAAAAACCCACAAUAACCCAUUGAUAUGUAUAAACCCAUUAUAUAAUUCCAAACCCUACCUUUAUAUUCACUUGGGACCCUUCAACCAUUUUGCAACAAGCCGUAGAUGUUUCCACUGUU